rnacentral:rRNA from 1 species
ACGAACGCUGGCGGCGUGCUUAACACAUGCAAGUCGAACGGUGAAGCGCCUUCCUUUUUGGUGGGUGUGGAUGAGUGGCGAACGGGUGAGUAACACGUGAGUAACCUGCCCCCUUCUUCUGGAUAACCGCAUGAAAGUGUGGCUAAUACGGGAUAUUCUGGGUCUGUCGCAUGAUGGGUCUGGGAAAGAUAUUGUUUCGGUGGGGGAUGGGCUCGCGGCCUAUCAGCUUGUUGGUGGGGUGAUGGCCUACCAAGGCGGUGACGGGUAGCCGGCCUGAGAGGGUGGACGGUCACACUGGGACUGAGACACGGCCCAGACUCCUACGGGAGGCAGCAGUGGGGAAUAUUGCACAAUGGGCGCAAGCCUGAUGCAGCGACGCCGCGUGAGGGAUGGAGGCCUUCGGGUUGUGAACCUCUUUCGCCAGUGAAGCAGGCCUGCCUCGUUUGUGGGUGGGUUGACGGUAGCUGGAUAAGGAGCGCCGGCUAACUACGUG